GUCUACGGCCAUACCACCCUGAACGCGCCCGAUCUCGUCUGAUCUCGGAAGCUAAGCAGGGUCGGGCCUGGUUAGUACUUGGAUGGGAAUACAUGAGCAUAUGUCCCCGAGGAAA
ensembl:rRNA 5S_rRNA 5S ribosomal RNA